CAUCCUUACUGUGUGGGCCCGUGGGGGCAGAUGUAGAAGUACGACUUUUCUUCCCAUCACUUUCCCUCAUCCCAUACUCACGCAUCGCCCCUGUUCCGCCACUCCAGCCAACCGCCGGCUGCCCCUCGGAAGGCCUCCCCUCCGGGCUUCGGCUAUCGCCGCUCCUCCUCACGUCCCUCCUCUUCCACGCCAAACACCUCCCAAUGUCUGCCCGGAGUAUCAUAGAUGUUUCGUACGAUUUGGAGCAGCGCCGUCCUCAAGUGAAGAUCCAUGCCGCCCCGGGAAAAUCAAGAGAUGACGGCGGCGCAAGCUCGAGGUUGCACCAAUGGCGGCUCAAACCAACUAGCGCCAGAUCGGGAAGCGGCCAUGGCGAGCAGCGGUGAACGACGUGUUUGUGACGCUCCUCACCGCCAGAAACGCCCUCGCCGACGUCCAGCACCGCCUCGACCUUUAAUUAGGAGAUGAUCGACCUAAUGCGGACGAGCCUGGCGGUGCACCAGUUGGUGCCUCCUCCGGGCUGCCCCUCAUGACCAAAGAUGACGAGGCCGCCUACGGCAAUCUCAAGCAGGUAACAUCCGUUUCGCCAAUUCCCCACAUCCCCAAGCUUAGUUAAAAAUUUGGAAGAGUUCUGGCGGAUUUUGAACAAUUUCUUCCUAGCUUGGAAGUCACUUCUUCCAUUUUUCUGAGUUUUAGGCAGACUGCAGCAAGCUUCUACAUUUUUGUGCGAUUAAGCUGUCAAUAAGCGUGGAGUGUGUCUCUUAGAAGAUACGGUGUCGACUUUUUUUUUUGGUUCCAGGUGUUGUUCCUAUUCUGCAUUUAGCUCCAGUGUUUUGCACAACAUUUGUCUAGAGCUACACAAAAUCUCCGCAGGGUACAGCUGAUUGCGACAUGAGCCACUACGUUAUGAGAUAAGCUGGCAAGUCUGGUUAGCAAUUGUUGUGUUCAAUGAUACACUAGAUUUUGCGGUAAGGUUCUACUAACAAGUGAAUAUACUUUUACGAGGUCAGCGCCACCGCCGGCAAGUGCGCCUUGCCUACUUCCCUCGCUGGUGAAUAAGGGGGUCGUCCGAGGAGGAAGCCUUGGUGAAAGCUGUGUUGGUGAACGGCGCUGGAAGCUCUUGAUUCUGAUCCGAAGCACCACCAUAGGGUGAUACCUCCUGCUCCUCUCUUGAUUGAGAACAAUUGCAUGGCGUUGCACUUGGACUCUCGAAUGCCCAUUUCUCUAUGGAGCAGCAUUAGAUGAUGGAGAGGUGAGUUCUUAUUUGUGCCAGCAUUAGAUGAUGGAGAGGUGAGUUCUUAUUUGUGCCACAGAAGGUGACAAUAAGUACCAGAAGUUAAGGUGAACCCUCCAAGGCAUCACCAAUUUGAACACCCAUCAAUGUUGCAACUUUAUUCAUGACCAGUUCAUUCAAAUGCUUGCAGAAUGAAUGAAUCUAUGAGUGUAUAAACUUAUCGGUUGGUUACCAAACACAUUGAGGAAUUUUUUUAUGUUGAAUGGUGUAGGUUGACAUUGCAAACAAGUCUAGAGUAUUGCUAGAGGUAAAUGGAGAUCCUGGCUGGCCCGAAUCUUGUGCUUAAUUUACAUACGGAGUACAUAUCAUUGGAUGGCAGAGUGUUCAUGGAUGCGAGUAGAAAUCACAUUUUCUAUUGUGAAGCUAUGACAUAAGCUCAUAGUAUCUUGAUCACCUCAUAGCUUUAGCUUAGAAAUUGUUCUAUUAAUAGGCAAGAAAAAAAUAGACUCUGUACCAAUUAUGUGGGUCAUACCUUAAUUCAUUAGCUUUCUUUCUUCUUUUCCCCAACAUAUGAGGCGCCUACUUCAGUUACACACAAAUCUGAGCCAGGUGUGCCUGCAAAUAUUGAUGUCCUAGGAUCAUCCAGACCACCACCCACUAGCUUGGUAUUUCUUUCGAGUACUUUAUAUCCGUUUCUUCCAGUCUCAUGGACUCAUGUCUUAUACAUAUUUUAGGAGACUACACACAGUCAUGUUUAAGGUGUACCGUCAUCCGGCACAUUUUCUUUUAUAUUUGCCCACGCUUAGGUCUCGGAAUGGUGUCACUGUCUGUGUAAUGUGUCGAAAAAUUUCUUUCUAGAUUAAUUUGCAAUGUCUGGUGCUAGGUAUCUAAUAAUUUCUGUAGUGGAGUAAUUUUCAUAUUCUAGCAUGAUAAUUCCUUUUGGCCACAGCUUGAUUUUCUUGAAUUUUAUGUGCUAUUAAUAUGUGAGGAAGUAAGUGGCCUUGUGAUCUAACGAUCCAGUCAUAACGUUCCCGACAAAAGAUAACAGAUUUGCAACUUGACUUGCAGUGUGCAAUUACUGUAGACAAAGGUCAUCUCAAGUUUCUGUUCUGCGAUGAUGGAUGCUAUUUGUGAUUUUUGACGUACAUAUAAUGUGUCAUGUUCCAGUUGAAAUACAAAGUCUGGCCAGCUUUGACAUAGUUGUUCAUAUGACUAAGUGGAGAAAGUCCAUACAGCCCAUGUAUAUGAAGGAAGUCAAGCAGGAUUGCUGCAGAAAUAAAGUAACAAAUCUAUAUCUCUUAUAAAGCAAAACCUCACUAAGAGAUCAUUUAAUUUAUCUAUCUUAGCAUGCAACAUAUCCACAUCAUUCCAUAUUCAUAGCCGUAGGAUGUGAAUCAUCUGUCCGUCCAUGUGUAUGGGGAACGUAUCACCUGAAAACGACUCAGUUCCUGAAAAUCUGAAAAUAUCUGUAUGAACCGUUGGAUCUUGUACCAACGAUCAGAAAGUCAACCUCAAUCCCACCUCUACCCAUUUUGUAAAACAGCCCUCUCACAAGAAAAAUCAAUAUUGUCCUCCAAAUCUCUCCCACGUGUGACGGCCUCCACUCUCAGCCCACCUCCGCUUCUCCCCCAUCUCCGGCUAUGCAGGAGUCAGUUCUCGACGACGAACGGCGCACAUUCUCUUCCAAUAACCUCAUUUUGAAUCCUCUUGCAACAAGUUCGUCCGCCACCUAUUGAUUUCUGCAGGAUUUGUGGAGCAGAUCCAUCCACAAGGUUUUUUCUUUAUUUUGGAGUGGGAGCGUAGAUUCAUUUGUUCAGGCUGCGUGCCUGAAGACAAGUUUUUGUUCUGAUUCUGCUCUUGAGUUAUAGAAUUUCUUGACUCCCUCAAAACAAA